AAACCCUGUUCUCCGAUAUUGUUCAGGACAUAGUAGCCUGUACUCACUGCCUGUUUACUCAAGCGAAAGGGCUCAGACUGCUUCCUCUAAUGGUUGCAGAGAAGGGCUGAAGCUUUGUCAGCUGAGCCUUUGAGAUCCGGCUGGCUGUGAAUGAAUAAUUAAACUCCUGCCAAUGCAAAGAAUGUUUUGCAAGAUGACUUUUGGCUGGAUGGGAGGAAAUCAAUGGCUUAAUUGGCAGAGAAGAAGAUAUGGGGUCUGCCAUGGCUUGGACAUUUGACCCCUCCAAAUCUCAUGUUGAAAUUUGAUCCCCAGCGUUGGAUGUGGGGCCUAAUGGGAGAAGUCUGGGUCAUAGGAGUGGAUCUCUCAUGAGCAGCUUGGUGUCAUCUUUGAGAAAACCAACCACCAGGACUACCAGAUAGUAUCAAGAAACUGAAACUCACCAGAUCACUGCCUCUGGACCAUGAGAUGUCAGAUCCCUCACCUGUCAUGAUUGCCUAACUUACCACCUGCUUCCUGUUGACCAGCUCCUCUUCCCUACCCUCCUUAGUUCUUGUUUUCCCACACAUCGUUACAUUUCUUCCUUGCUCUAUAAACCUCUUAUUGUAGUCAGUUGGGGAGAUGGAUGUGGGACUGAUCUCCCAUCUCCUUGGCUGCAACACCUGAUUAAAGCCUUCUUUCCUGGCAGUACUCAUUGUCUCAGUGAUUGCCUUUCUGUGUGGUGAGCAGCAGAACAUAGGCCAAAUCCAUGGUAUUUCAGCAACAUUUCCUUCUUGGAACACAGUCCCAUAUCAUAAGGAGUCCAACCCACAUGGAGAGGCCAGGUGGAAGAGAGUGGAGACACUCAGUCUAUGGUCCCAGCUUAACUCCCAGCUAACAGCUAGCAUCAACCACCAGCCAUGUAAGUUCUCCACUGUGGACAUUCAGCUCAGCAAAGGCCCCACCUAGUCGACUAGAGUCCCAGCUGACAUCACAUGCAAAGAGCCACUCAGGUGAACCAAGUCAGCCUAUAGAGUUAGAAAGAAAAUAAAAUGAUUGUUGUUUCUAAGCUGCUAAGUUUUGGGGUGGUUUGUUUUUGUACAAUAUAUGA